AAGUCGUAACAAGGUUUCCGUAGGUGAACCUGCGGAAGGAUCAUUAAAAAAAAACGUUGUGCGAGGCGGCCGCCAGGCAAAUGCUAGGAGGCCGUUUUAGACAUCAACACCCUCUGUAUAUCUACCGUGUUGCUUUGGCGGGACGGCAGCCAAGCUGUCCGCAGGGCCUGUUUAAGGCCCCGCGAGUGCCUGCCAGAGAACCACCAAACACAUGUUAAACCGUGAUGUCUGAGCUUUACAAGCAAUAAGUUAAAACUUUCAACAACGGAUCUCUUGGUUCUC
rnacentral:misc_RNA from 1 species